UACAGAGGUCUCAAGCGUUGUUCGGAUUCAUUGGGCGUAAAGGGUGCGUAGGUGGCGCUGUAAGUCAGAUGUGAAAUUUCGGAGCUUAACUCCGAAACUGCAUUUGAUACUGCGGUGCUUGAGGACUGGAGAGGAGAUUGGAAUUCACGGUGUAGCAGUGAAAUGCGUAGAUAUCGUGAGGAAGACCAGUGGCGAAGGCGGAUCUCUGGACAGUUCCUGACACUGAGGCACGAAGGCCCAGGGGGAGCAAAACGGGG
rnacentral:rRNA from 1 species